UAGAGUGUAUUAAUAUUUAAUGAAUUAACUGUAUAAAUAUGAAUGAUUCUCUGCACAUUGAGACAUUGUUUGUCUUGUGAACUGUCCUCGCUUGAGCUCCAGAUGAGACGCGCGGGAGAUGUGUGGAGAAACGGGAGAUUUAUUUCUCAUGGAGAAGCGAGUGAGCGACUGAAGCGCUGUCGUUUCUGUUUCCUGAAGGCUUCUUCUUUCUUCAGGAUCUCUAGAGGAUUGCUCUCGCUCUGAAUAAGAGGUCAGGUCGUUUGGAGGCAGGUGAGUGUGUGUGUGUGUGUGUUAAGGAGGCACUCGGCAGCAUUGAGGAGGAGUGAGCGUUACACAAGUCUUCAGAGUUAUCGGCACGCAUGUAUGGUGGGCGUCAGUAUUAGAAAUAAACAGAAAGCUUUCAUGUUCUUCUAAAGGUCACGGAGACUCUGAUAUCGACUCGUGCUGUUCCUCUCGGAGCUUCACAUGAUGAGGGUCGUGGGAGGUCAUCGUUCAAACACUCGCUUGUUCUCCCAUGAAGAGGCCACCGCUGAUCAUCACUGGGACACGCGGCGUCUCGUGUGGGAGUGCAUGAUGGGAUGGAGACACAGGACGGGCUCAUUAGUCCAGCGAGGAGAAACGCCGUAAUGGAGGUGGACUGUAAAUAAGCGGAAGCCCUUCUUGACAAAUGAAUCCAUUAACAUUUCCCUGUGUCGCCUGGCAAGGAGACUUGCCGUUUAUGGGGCAGAAAAGCAGGCCUGUAAAUCUGAGAGUCCACACCGGCCCACGAUGCAGCACUUUAUCUGCCUCUCGCACAGCAUCUUUAUCUGCCUAAAUUAAGUUUUGAUUCCUUGCCACAUACGGUGCCGCAAAUCACUUAUAACGCUGAUAUCAAGAGCGGCGCUGAAGUCGGCCCGUGGCCAUGAAAACCUCUUGAUUUUGUAGCAUCCUCUGUUGUUCGGGGCCGGAUUUAACCCCUGCUGCUCUGCUCAUUUCCCAUGCAUGAUCUCUCGCGGGAAAGGGCGGAGGACGCUCUAGAAAGGGAUGGAGACGAGGUUUAUGGGCAGAAUAAAUCUCCAAUUUAAAUGUGAUUUUAGCACCGCGUGUCAAAGACGGAUUCCCUGACUUCUGUUUCACUUCACAACACCGGCCUGAACUCAGAGACGGAGGACGCCCAUCAUUCACUGGGACGCGUAAUGUCUUUGUUAGCGGAGGAGAAGAGCUGUCGCGGCGGUGACUGACGGGCCUUUCAUCAUUAGCGGACGCUGACGGACAGAUCUGACUGGAGGAGAGCAUCAGUUCUGAGGGGUCUGCGGCCGCCAUUAGUUACUGAAGAACUGGACGAGCUUCUGUGACAUUACGAUGUGCUUUCGCUACAGAAUUUGUUAAAGGGCCAUUCGCUUGAAAUAUCUGCACUGACAGUAAAAUACCAACCAGAGCCAUUAGGUUUGAAGCCCAAUCAAUCUCAUACUUAAAAAAAAUACUAGUGUCUCACAAAAGACAAAAAACAGGCAGAGAGCAUCAGUCGUGGAAAUACAUAUACGCUUACAUUAAGAGGACAGCCAAACAUAGCUAUAGUUGGAGGAGUAAGUCAAACCACUCCACAUAUAGAGUAAUCAAUCAGUGUGCUUCGUUAGAGUAAACCCACAGCAAUUUAUAGUCACUUUCCCAACUCCUGAUUUUAAUUUUAAUACUGCAAAGCAAAUAAAAAAAUCUAUAUUCUCACACACACUGCAUUUACCAAGCAUCACGAAUUAGCAUAAUAAUAACUCAGGGCAGGAAAUACUGUAAUCAUAGUUUGGUCAAGUUUGAAUCUGUUUCCAUGAGUAAUAGAUAAUGUUCUCUCAGGCCCAUCAGCAAAAAAAGCAAUUUCCCUCCCGCUGGUAAUUCAGAGUGAAACACCACGAGAUGUCAGAUUCUCUCCGACAUCAUUGUUCAUGCCACAAAAACGAGACGAGUCGACGCAGCGGUCACGCUUUCUCUCAUCUCAGCAUUACUGCCGUUUAUUUACAGACUGGAGAUCGUUUCUCAUCUACGCCUGAAACUAAAAUAGAAGAUAAACAAGUCUGAAUUAAUUCAUCUUUGUGGGUUGGUGUAAUUUUUUAAUGUCUUUGAGCUGCUCACCAAAGCUGUAUUUAUUUUAGCAAAAAUACAGUAAAAAUACUCACAUUUAAAAUAUC